rnacentral:piRNA from 1 species
UGUCCUGAAAGGCUUGCCAUUGUGGGGAU